rnacentral:rRNA from 1 species
AUUGAACGCUGGCGGCAGGCCUAACACAUGCAAGUCGAGCGGAUGAAGGGAGCUUGCUCCUGGAUUCAGCGUCGGACGGGUGAGUAAUGCCUAGGAAUCUGCCUGGUAGUGGGGGAUGACGUCCGGAAACGGGCGCUAAUACCGCAUACGUCCUGAUGGAGAAAGUGGGGGAUCUUCGGACCUCACGCUAUCAGAUGAGCCUAGGUCGGAUUAGCUAGUUGGUGGGGUAAAGGCCUACCAAGGCGACGAUCCGUAACUGGUCUGAGAGGAUGAUCAGUCACACUGGAACUGAGACACGGUCCAGAGUCCUACGGGAGGCAGCAGUGGGGAAUAUUGGACAAUGGGCGAAAGCCUGAUCCAGCCAUGCCGAGUGUGUGACGAAGGUCUCCGGAUCGUAAAGCACUUUAAGUUGGUAGGAAGCGCAGUCAGUUAAUACCUUGCUGUUUUGACGUUACUAACAGAAUAAGCACCGGCUAACUUCGUG